CAGGUCACUCCUACGGGAGGCAGCAGUGGGGAAUUUUGGACAAUGGGGGAAACCCUGAUCCAGCAAUGCCGCGUGAGUGAAGAAGGCCUUAGGGUUGUAAAGCUCUUUCGGCGGGGACGAUGGUGACGGUACCCGCGGAAGAAGCCCCGGCUAACUUCGUGCCAGCAGCCGCGGUAAUACGAAGGGGGCUAGCGUUGUUCGGAAUCACUGGGCGUAAAGGGCGCGUAGGCGGCGCGACAAGUCAGGCGUGAAAGCCCCGGGCUCAACCUGGGAAUGGCAGUGGAAACUAGGGGACUGGAAUCUGGCAGAGGGGGGUGGAAUGCCGCGUGUAGCAGUGAAAUGCGUAGAGAUGCGGCGGAACACCGGUGGCGAAGGCGGCAUCCUGGACCGAUAUUGACGCUGAUGCGCGAAAGCCAGGGGAGCAAACGGGAUUAGAUACCCCGGUAGUCCUGGCCCUAAACGAUGAAUGCUUGGUGUGGCGGGUAUCGAUCCCUGCCGUGCCGAAGCUAACGCGAUAAGCAUCCCGCCUGGGGAGUACGGUCGCAAGGCUGAAACUUAAAGGAAUUGACG
rnacentral:rRNA from 1 species